rnacentral:rRNA from 1 species
CGCGUAGGCGGGUUUGUAAGUCAGAGGUGAAAUCCUGCAGCUUAACUGCAGAACUGCCUUUGAAACUACAAAUCUUGAGUUUGGAAGAGAGAGACGGAAUUCCAGGUGUAGUGGUGAAAUACGUAGAUAUCUGGAAGAACACCAGUGGCGAAGGCGGUCUCUUGGUCCAUAACUGACGCUGAGGCGCGAAAGCGUGGGGAGCAAACAGGAUUAGAUACCCUGGUAGUCC